UACGGAGGGUACUAGCGUUGUUCGGAAUUACUGGGCGUAAAGGGCGCGUAGGCGGCCGUUUGCGUCGGAUGUGAAAGCCCGGGGCUCAACCUCGGAACGGCAUUCGAUACGGGACGGCUGGAGACCGGGAGAGGAGAGUGGAAUAGCCAGUGUAGAGGUGAAAUUCGUAGAUAUUGGCUGGAACACCGGUGGCGAAAGCGGCUCUCUGGCCCGGUUCUGACGCUGAGGCGCGAAAGCGUGGGGAGCAAACAGG
rnacentral:rRNA from 1 species